rnacentral:tRNA from 1 species
GCCGAUGUAGCUCAAUGGCAGAGCCGGCGCAUGGUAGGCGCCAGACGAGCGUUCGAUUCGCUCCAUUGGCUCCA